GAUGAACGCUAGCUACAGGCUUAACACAUGCAAGUCGAGGGGAAACGACAUCGAAAGCUUGCUUUUGAUGGGCGUCGACCGGCGCACGGGUGAGUAACGCGUAUCCAACCUGCCCAUCACUUGGGAAUAACCUUGCGAAAGUAAGACUAAUACCCAAUGAUAUCCCACGAAGGCAUCGGAAUGGGAUUAAAGAUUUAUCGGUGAUGGAUGGGGAUGCGUCUGAUUAGCUUGUUGGCGGGGUAACGGCCCACCAAGGCAACGAUCAGUAGGGGUUCUGAGAGGAAGGUCCCCCACAUUGGAACUGAGACACGGUCCAAACUCCUACGGGAGGCAGCAGUGAGGAAGAUGGGUCAAUGGGCGAGAGCCUGAACCAGCCAAGUAGCGUGCAGGAAGACGGCCCUAUGGGUGGUAAACUGCUUUUAUAAGGGAAUAAAGUGGGUCACGUGUGACUUUUUGCAUGUACCUUAUGAAUAAGGACCGGCUAAUUCCGUG
rnacentral:rRNA from 1 species